rnacentral:rRNA from 1 species
UACGUAGGGGGCAAGCGUUGUCCGGAUUUAUUGGGCGUAAAGAGCGUGUAGGCGGUCUGGUAGGUCCGCUGUGAAAACUCGAGCUCAACCUCGAGACGCCGGUGGAAACCAUCAGACUAGAGUCCGGAAGAGGAGAGUGGAAUUCCUGGUGUAGCGGUGAAAUGCGCAGAUAUCAGGAAGAACACCCGUGGCUAAGGCGGCUCUCUAGUACGGUACUGACGCUGAGACGCGA